UGCAGUCGACGAGAAGUUCCUUCGGGGACGAGUAAAGUGGCGCACGGGUGAGUAACGCGUAGAUAAUCUGUCCAGGUGUUCGGGAUAGCCCUUCGAAAGGGGGAUUAAUACCGAAUACGUUAAUCUUUCAUAAGGUAGAUUAAGAAAGGUGGCCUCUAUUUAUAAGCUAUCGCAUUUGGAGGAGUCUGCGUACCAUUAGUUUGUUGGUGGGGUAAUGGCCUACCAAGACUUCGAUGGUUAGCGGGUCUGAGAGGAUGAUCCGUCACACUGGCACUGAAACACGGGCCAGACUCCUACGGGAGGCAGCAGUGAGGAAUAUUGCGCAAUGGGGGAAACCCUGACGCAGCGACGCCGCGUGGGUGAGGAAGGCUUUCGGGUCGUAAAGCCCUGUCAGGUGGGAAGAAAUGGUUAAUGGAUAAUACCUGUUAGCUUUGACGGUACCACCAAAGGAAGCACCGGCUAACUCCGUG
rnacentral:rRNA from 1 species